UGGUUCUGGCAUCGAUGAAGAACGCAGCGAAAUGCGAUAAGUAAUGUGAAUUGCAGAAUUCAGUGAAUCAUCGAAUCUUUGAACGCACAUUGCGCCCCCUGGUAUUCCGGAGGGCAUGCCUGUUCGAGCGUCAUUACAACCCUCAAGCUCUGCUUGGCAUUGGGUGUCACACUCUAGUGCACUCUAAAAUCAGUGGCGAUACUGUUUAGCUUCAAGCAUAGUAAUAUUUCUGGCCUAGGGGUGACAAGCAGUGUCUGCCAUAAGCUCAAAAAUAAGGUUGACCUCGGAUCAGGUAGGGAUACCCGCUGA
rnacentral:misc_RNA from 1 species